UCAAUUAGAUUGAUAAUGAGUUUUGUUUUACUAGCUUUGAAUGACAUUUUGUGGGCUCUGUACCUGAUGUUAUACCCUAUGAAAGAUGAAUAGAAAGUCUCAGUCAGCCUUUGAUUUGUUUGAGUAGUGGAAAUGGCAUUAUUUCUCGUAUUCUAUUUUUUCUUUUUAAAUCAAUUAAUUGAAUCCUAUAUAUACAUUGAAUGUGCAGAAGUGGAGUGCUAUUGCAGGAGCAGGACUAUCUGGCUCUGAUGAUGUAGAUUUGGACUAUUCUAAUCAUAAAAUUUCUGAGGCAACAAGAACCAAUUAUCAAAACUUUCCAGCUGUUUAGAGGAUAUAAUUCUAGAUAAUGUUUUUAGCUUUUUUUUCUUUUUUCUUUCCAUAUCGAAAUGGCUCCAAUGGCCUUGAUUUUUUCCAUAUUGAAAAGGCUCCAAUGGCCUUGAUUUCUAA